AUGUGAGGUGUGUUUUUAGGGAUGGAGGAAGAAGAAAUGAAAGGAGAGGAAUUAAGGAGGCUGAAGAGGACUGAGAUGAAAAUAGGAAGUUUCCUCCCACUACAGGCUGAGAGUUGGUUCUCAACAAAAAGAACUAAAGAAGAAGACACACAUGACUAUUCAUCCUAAGAGAGAACUGAUAAUGGAUCAACAAAACUAAUCUACCCAAGUCCAGUUUGUCUUCAGGGACUCACCAUAGCUGGUGUCCAACGUGGGGCCUGGAGCUCUCUGUACAACUUGCAAGCAGCUAAACAGGUAGGA